UUUUUUUUCACCAAAAAUGGGGCAAUAGUAGGAACUUUUAGAAAGGAAAAGGAAAUGAACUGUUGCUUGUUUCCCACCAUUGCUGUUCACAGCCAAAAUGAGGAGGUUUAUGUCAACUUUGGGCAAAAGAAGUUUGCUUUUGAUCUGAAGGCAAG